ACGGGUGAGUAAUGCCUAGGAAUCUGCCUGGUAGUGGGGGAUAACGUUCGGAAACGGACGCUGAUACCGCAUACGUCCUACGGGAGAAAGCAGGGGACCUUCGGGCCUUGCGCUAUCACAUGACCCUAGGUCGGAUUACCUAGUUGGUGAGGUAAUGGCUCACCAAGGCGACCAUCCGUAACUGGUCUGAGAGGAUGAUCAGUCACACUGGAACUGAGACACGGUCCAUACUCCUACGGGAGGCAGCAAUGGGGAAUAUUGGACAAUGGGCGAAAGCCUGAUCCACCCAUGCCGCGUGUGUGAAGAAAGUCUUCGGAUUGUAAAGCAUUUUACUUUGUGAGGAAGGGCAGUUACCUAAUACGUGAUUGUUUUGACGUUACCGACAGAAUAAGCACCGGCUAACUCUGUGCCAGCAGCCGCGGUAAUACAGAGGGUGCAAGCGUUAAUCGGAAUUACUGGGCGUAAAGCGCGCGUAGGUGGUUUGUUAAGUUGGAUGUGAAAUCCCCGGGCUCAACCUGGGAACUGCAUUCAAAACUGACUGACUAGAGUAUGGUAGAGGGUGGUGGAAUUUCCUGUGUAGCGGUG
rnacentral:rRNA from 1 species